UACGUAGGGUGCAAGCGUUGUCCGGAAUGAUUGGGCGUAAAGAGCUCGUAGGCGGUUUGUUGCGUCGGCUGUGAAAUCCCGAGGCUCAACCUCGGGUCUGCAGUCGAUACGAGCAAACUAGAGUGUUGCAGGGGAGACUGGAAUUCCUGGUGUAGCGGUGAAAUGCGCAGAUAUCAGGAGGAACACCGGUGGCGAAGGCGGGUCUCUGGGCAACAACUGACGCUGAGGAGCGAAAGCGUGGGGAGCGAACAGG
rnacentral:rRNA from 1 species